rnacentral:rRNA from 1 species
AGAGUGAACAGUAUGUGAAAUCGUUGAGAGGGAAACGACUGGAGCCAAUCGUGUCCCUGGGGAUCAGCCGGUCCCGCCGGUGCACUCCCCUCGGAUGGGUCAGCGUCGGCCUGGGGCGGCGGACUAGGAUGGGGGCAAGGUGGCACCCACGGGUGUGUUUACAGGCCCCCAACGGAAACGUCGGCCUGGGCCGAGGGUCGCGACCUCGGUCGAGGACGUUGGCGCAAUGGCUCCAGACGACCCGUCUUGAAACACGGACCAAGGAGUCCAACAUGCACGCGAGUGUUCGGGCGUGAAACCCGGGCGCGUAAUGAGAGUGAUCUCGGGAGGGAUCCGUGAGGAGCACCUUCGGCCGGCCCCGACCCGUGGGGAGGGGUCCGAGCGGGAGCGCGCAUGCUGGGACCCGAAAGAUGGUGAACUAUGCCUGAACAGGGCGAAGCCAGGGGAAACCCUGGUGGAGGCUCGUAGCGAUUCUGACGUGCAAAUCGAUCGUCGGAUUUGGGCAUAGGGGCGAAAGACUAAUCGAACCGUCUAAUGGCUGGUUCCUGCCGAAGUUCCC